GCUGGGUCCACUCAGUAGUUAGUCUCCAGCAUUUUAAGCUCCAGCACUGACCUGUUCCAUUUGCCAGAUAGUUUUUGUCGAGCACCUGGUUUGUCAGCUUUCUAACAAUCUCCAAGGAGGUGGGAUGUGGUGAGCCAGAGAACAGAACUACACCACGUUGAUUGGAUCUGACCUGCCUCUAGUUGUGUCAGGUAUCAUCGGACUCAGAGCUUUGUGUCUGUUAUGGGCAGCCGCGGAUCCAUCCUGCCUGUGUCCAGUCCCUGGUCCAACCUUCCUGCCUGCACUUUGUUGUUGCUUAUUGUUGUAACUGUGCUUUUCUCUCUCUCUAUCCCCUCACCCCAACUGGUUAAGGCAGAUGGCCACCCACAUACAGCCUGGUUCUGCUGGAGGUUUUUGUCUCUGCACUUUUUCUUUCAAAUAGUAAAUAAAGGCUUGCUGUAUGUAAGA